CAGGAAUAAGCAUCGGCUAACUCCGUGCCAGCAGCCGCGGUAAUACGGAGGAUGCAAGCGUUAUCCGGAUUCAUUGGGUUUAAAGGGUGCGCAGGCUGUAAAGCAAGUCAGUGGUGAAAGCCCUGGGCUUAACUCAGGGAUUGCCAUUGAAACUGUUUUACUAGAGUGUAGUAGAGGACGGCGGAAUGAGUUGUGUAGCGGUGAAAUGCAUAGAUAUAACUCAGAACACCUAUUGCGUAGGCAGCUGUCUAUACUACAACUGACGCUGAGGCACGAAAGCGUGGGGAGCGAACAGGAUUAGAUACCCUGGUAGUCCACGCUGUAAACGAUAAUCACUCGUUGUUGGCUACUUAGUAGUCAGUGACCAAGGGAAACCGAUAAGUGAUCCACCUGGGGAGUACGUCGGCAACGAUGAAACUCAAAGGAAUUGACGGGGGCCCGCACAAGCGGAGGAACAUGUGGUUUAAUUCGAUGAUACGCGAGGAACCUUACCUGGGCUUAAAUGCUGGCUGCAUUGGAGGGAAACCUUCAUUUCCUACGGGACCGCCAGCAAGGUGCUGCAUGGUUGUCGUCAGCUCGUGCCGUGAGGUGUCGGGUUAAGUCCCAUAACGAGCGCAACCCCUAUCGCUAGUUGCCAGCAUGUAAUGGUGGGGACUCUAGCGAGACUGCCGGUGUAAACCGGAGGAAGGUGGGGAUGACGUCAAAUCAGCACGGCCCUUACGUCCAGGGCUACACACGUGUUACAAUGGCCGGUACAAAGAGCAGCCACCUGGCGACAGGGCGCUAAUCUCUAAAACCGGUCUCAGUUCGGAUCGAAGUCUGCAAUUCGACUUCGUGAAGGUGGAUUCGCUA
rnacentral:rRNA from 1 species